UCCAGACUCCUACGGGAGGCAGCAGUGGGGAAUAUUGCACAAUGGGGGAAACCCUGAUGCAGCGACGCCGCGUGAGUGAAGAAGCGCCUCGGCGCGUAAAGCUCUGUCAGCAGGAACGACGAUGACGGUACCUGAAGAAGAAGCCCCGGCUAACUACGUGCCAGCAGCCGCGGUAAUACGUAGGGGGCAAGCGUUAUCCGGAUUUACUGGGUGUAAAGGGAGCGUAGACGGCGGGGCAAGUCUGGAGUGAAAGCCCGGGGCCCAACCCCGGGACUGCUCUUGGAACUGCGUGGCUGGAGUGCAGGAGGGGCAGGCGGAAUUCCUGGUGUAGCGGUGAAAUGCGUAGAUAUCAGGAGGAACACCGGUGGCGAAGGCGGCCUGCUGGACUGCAACUGACGUUGAGGCCCGAAAGCGUGGGGAGCAAACAGGAUUAGAUACCCCCGUAC
rnacentral:rRNA from 1 species